GCCCACAUAGAUCAGUUGGUAGAUCGCCUUCUGUUAUUAUUAUGCCAUGACGUAUUAUAUUUGAAGGAGAUGGAGGUCCCCUCCUGUGGGCA